rnacentral:rRNA from 1 species
AUUGAACGCUGGCGACAUGCCUUACACAUGCAAGUCGAACGGCAGCACGGGUGCUUGCACCUGGUGGCGAGUGGCGAACGGGUGAGUAAUACAUCGGAACAUGUCCUGUAGUGGGGGAUAGCCCGGCGAAAGCCGGAUUAAUACCGCAUACGAUCUACGGAUGAAAGCGGGGGACCUUCGGGCCUCGCGCUAUAGGGUUGGCCGAUGGCUGAUUAGCUAGUUGGUGGGGUAAAGGCCUACCAAGGCGACGAUCAGUAGCUGGUCUGAGAGGACGACCAGCCACACUGGGACUGAGACACGGCCCAGACUCCUACGGGAGGCAGCAGUGGGGAAUUUUGGACAAUGGGCGAAAGCCUGAUCCAGCAAUGCCGCGUGUGUGAAGAAGGCCUUCGGGUUGUAAAGCACUUUUGUCCGGAAAGAAAUCCUUGGCCCUAAUACGGUCGGGGGAUGACGGUACCGGAAGAAUAAGCACCGGUUAACUACGUG